rnacentral:lncRNA from 1 species
UUGUAUCUUUCUUCGGUUAAAAUCAACUUAUGCACCUCACAUUUAGUUUUUUGAACAAGUCAAAUGAAAGAAUUUCUAUAAAAGUUAAGUUAGAGAACCCUAUUACACAUGAGCUUUAGCUACAUUGUUUUCAAUCCCAUAAUUUCUUUUAUCCUUCAAUAUUACGAUGGAUACUUGAACUUCUGUCUGUGCAAAUAUAGAAUCUAGAUCUAGAUAUAAAACAAUUGAAAGAAGCCAGAACUAGAUUUUAUCUAGAGAAAGGUGCAUACUAAGUUGAUAUCUGUUCUUUCCAUCUAGACUCAGCCAUGUUUUCUGCAGCUGGUAAUUUGAGGAGAGGGAGAGAGAGAGAGAGAUUUUUCAGUUGCAAAUAGUUUUUAUUCUUAAACUGAUGUUCAUGAUUGCUCAGAUAUAAUUGUAAAGUGCGUAUUGAAAAAGUUUAAUUCUCUUUGGCAGGUCGAAGGUGUUUCUGGUCCAGCGAAAUGAUUUCUACUAGGUUCUAUGGGAUUUAUGCUUGAUUCAAAAGGUUUGUAGAGGAAAUGACCAUAAUAAAACAGACGAUGAGGCAACGUUAAAAUUCUUACCUAUUUUUUUUUUUUCACCUGGGAGAUUAACCAAUUGUGAGGAAAAAAUGAAAAAUCAAAUUGGAGUUUACUGUCAUGUUAUUAAAUAUCAUGCUUUUGUUGUACAGCUCCAGGAGCUUGAACUUUUAACUCUGUUUUAUUAUUGUUAGCAACUUUUGAUGAAAUCUGAUCCACCUACAAUGAAAAAUGAAGGGACCAAUCCUUUGGGUUCUGACAACUGCAGGGUGGUGCAAUUGUUCUGAAAUCUGUGGUUAAAAUUUCAUGCAGUUUGUUUUAAUCAGUAGAGAACCUGGAUCCAUGACUACACUAGAAUCAACAAUAUAAAUGAUUUAUUAUAAAUCUUAAGUAUUUGUUUUUAUAAAAUUUAAUUAUAAUAUGUGAUCAAAGUAUCAAUUCACUAUGUGCUCAAUGGAAUUUAAUUCAGUACUAUUUUGUUAUGUAUCUGGUGAAUCACUCGUGCAUCUUUGAUUCGUAGUAUGCAUCGUGAGCUUUGCCUACAUUCUUUUCAAUCCACCAAUCCAUUAUUUUUUUUUAAAAAAGUGGAUAAAUAUGGUAGCCGGAGAAAGCAGUUUGGUACAGUUAUUGUUUGGGCAAAUAACUUACGAUUUUGGUCACACCGAGAGAGAGCUUCAUUGAAUUGAAACUCAAUUUAACCAAUUUGGUUUAAAAAAAUUAAAAUCCUUAAGUUUUCCAUAGUAUUAUAGAAUUCCUCUUAUUUUUUAAUUUUUUUCGGUAUCAUAGUUAAUACUUGAACUUCUGUCGAUGCUAAUCUACAAUUUAAAUCUAAUUAUCAUACACUUGAAAGACACCGAAAUUUAGAUAAAUAUUUACAUAUUUGACUUCACAUUAAAGAUUUAGUUUUGCAUCCAUAAUUAAUUUUAAGUUAAAAGAAUUAUAUGCAAUUAUUGUGUUGGAUAAAAAAAAUAUGCUAAGUUUUACUAGUAAUUUGCUUUAAAAAUAUAAAUGUUAAAAUAUAAAUCACACAUUUGCAUUACUUCAAAAUCAAUUUUAAUCUAAAUUUUGUAAUCAAUCAUCCAAACACACACUAAGUUUAUAUUUGUUCUUUACAUCUAAACUCAGCCGUAUUUUGUGCUAGUAAUAUGAGUAGAGAGAGAUUUCCCUGUUGCAAUUAGUUUUAAUUUUUUUGAUGAUGUUUCAUGACUGCUCAGAUUUAACUGCAAGUGUGUGUUGAAAAAGCUUUUGUUCUCUUUGGUAUAACCAAUUGUGAGGAAAAAUUUAAAAGAACUAAGUGAAGGCUUUUUUCUUCUUCUUUUGAUUUGCACAGUUCCAUGAGCUUGAACUCUUAACACUCUUAUACUAUUAUUAGCAAAUUUUAAUGAAAUUUGAUUCAGCUUACACUGAAAAAUGAAGGGACCAAUAUCCUCUGGGGUGGUGCAGUUAUUGAUCUGAUGAUUUCUCUUUGUUACUUUAUACUUAUAAUUCUGCUUUUAGUAGAAAAACGUUUUUUGUGGUUAAAAUUUCGUGGAGUUUGUUAACUGCAGAGAACAUGGGGUUCGGCUUUGGACUUGCCUAUUUUCCAUAGGAUCGUGUCCAGCGAUUAGGAGACUUAAAGAUCAAAUUUAUUUAAAAUUUUAAUUUAAUACAUUUUGUUCAUUUUUUAAAAAAUAAACUGUGAUUUCAUAUUUUAAAUAUUAUUUAAAUUUUAAAUUGACUCUCAAUUAAAGAUUUAAAUUAAUCUAUGUAUAUAAAAUAUCAACAUGAAAUAAAAUUUAACUAAAUGUAUAAUUUUAUAAUUAACAUUUUUUGUCAAAAUAUCUUUUUUUAUAUUUCAGGCAUAGACUCACUCAUUAAAUUUAAAUUUUGUACUAAUUUCAAUAGAUUUUUUAAGUAAAUGAGUGAUUGAAUCUAAAAUAGAUAUCAAAUAAUUUUCUUGAAAUUUUUAAAAUAAAAUUAAAAUUUUACUUAAAUGAGUUACGAUAACCAUUACAUUUAUAACUUAAAAUUAUGUAAUCUUAUUAAUAAAAAAAUUACAAAUAAUAAAUCAUAUUCUAACAAAAUUUACCAGUUUAAGUUGACAAAAAAGAUAUUAAAAAUAUAAAAAAAUGAAAACGUUGGGGGCCUAAGACAAAGAUCUCAUUGGCCUUAUGAUCUUCACGGUCCUGAUUUUCCACUAAGGUUGAACAAACAGAAUUGGAAUUUAAUCGGUCAACACAUGCUAUACAUCUCUGUGGCUAUCUCUGAGUUAAGCAAAUACAUUUUAAAUGAGUGAAACUGUGAAAGUACAGACUAUAAUCAACACCAACGUUAUCCAAAUUCUUAUGUACUACAAGAGCUAUAUUUCAAAGCAAAUAGUUGUGUAAGGAAAAUAAAUGAAAAUAGAGACUUUUUCAUUUCUAUGUUGUAGAUAAUAUCUAUAUUUCUGCUUACUGAGAUAAUAUAAAGAAAAUGCACUAAAAUGUAGUUAUAAUUUCGAACUGGUGAUACAUUUGGUUAUUAUGUAUCACUUUUCCUCAUUUCUAUUGUUUUGUAUGCCUGACGUCUGAGCUUAAAAUCCUAAGCAUAUGAAAUGAAGAUGCAAUUCAACAAGCUUGUUCACACCAAGUUAAUAUAUACUCACAUUCAUUUAAAGUUAUUUAUGCUCAGGGAUAAUUAAAAACUUAUACACGACAAAAUAUUCAAGGGACAUUCUCCAACAAGGUAACAUUUGUUGAUCAAAAACUAAAAGGAAAAAACCUUUUUCUUCACAAUCCAAACAACUCUAAAGAAGAAGAAGGGAAACAUAAUCGAAAUUGAAGAAAAUGGUAACAUACAAAGGAAGAAUAAAUUAGUAUAUAACUAUACACUAACCAGUUGGCUCACCUUAUCCACCUUAUCCUUGUUAAUAUGUGUAGUCUGUCUAUUAUUAUCAACUAGAAAAUGGGAGCCUAAAUGGAUUUGAGACCCACCAAACAUGUUUGAAUUGUUAUCAAAUUAAAUGAUGAGAUUCGCUCUGAUCUUUGCAUUAGAAUUUUAAAUGCUUUGUCUAGCGCCAUUUCCCUGCUCACUUCCUCUACAAGCUCUCGUUGUUGUGUCAAUCCCAUCUCGCGGACAAUUAUUUAUUUCUUGAUCUCUUUUUUCUUCAGCAUUGUUCGACACUACCAUUGGAAAGAGAGUAGUGAAUAAAAUGAACUCACAGUAACAAAAAUUUUGAUUUUUUUAUACUAAAAAAAUGGGUAUAUAUCUUGAAAGGAACAUGAAGAAGCAAGCAUUACCUCAUAUUGGACAUCUAGAAACGUAAGUGGUAGCAGAAAGAGGGUGCAACAAUGACAAUAUUGUCCCUCCGUUUUGACCAUCACAAUAUUUGAACUUCAUGACAAAGUUUGAAAUGUGAAACAAAGGGAAAGACAUUAAGAAAGAAAAUCAAGUACCUAUAAAAUCAGAGACAAUGUGGGUGUGCAGUGUGUUGAGUUUGAAUGAAAGAUUAAAUAAUGUUUGUGUGCAAUUUUAAUUUUCACACUAUUUUGAUAAAGUUUGACUAAAAAAAUCAUUUAUUAUAAAUAAUUAUUUAACAUGGUGAAAGUUUUACUAUGUCAACAUAUUAUCAAAGGAAGUUGAGACAUUUAAAAUUAAUCAACCUAUUUUAUUAGAAAGACAUAAAUUGAUUAGUUUUAUAAUGUUGAAAAACAUCUAUUGAAAUAAAAAUAAGAAUGUAUUGGUAAAAUAUUAAAUAUAAUGUUUUUAAUGAAAAAAUUAGUUUUAUUCUUUGACUAUUGUUUUUAAAGAUAUUAAUAAACAAAAUCAUUAAUAAAGUUUAAAUAUAAAGUAAAGAGAAAAGUAAAAUUAAAAAGUGAGACUUUAUUCAUCAUUUGAUUGAAUUAAAGUAAUUUUAAAUAUAAUUUGCUUAAAUUUAAUUUGGAUAUAUCUUUAAUUUUUUCGUCUACACAUUUUUUUACAUUAAAUAAUUUAAAUUUAAAAACAAUUUAUCGUUUAAAAAUCAUAAAUUUUUUAUUUUCUAAUUAAAUAUAAAGGUGAUAAAAUUGUUUUACUUUUUUUAAUGGUUGUCCAUUUAAUUUUUCCUUCUAUGGUUGGAUGCAAUUUCACUUUCCUUUUUCCAUUGACCAAUUUCAAAUGUCUUAUUUAAGAAUUGUUAAUAUGCAAAACACACACACACAAAAUGAAGCAUAAAUAAGUUGCAAAAAAAUAUUACAUUACAAUAUAUAAUAUUUAAAAUAUUACACAUUUUCAAUAUUACAUAAUGCAUUACAAUAUUUCAAAAUAUAAGUGUAAAUACUUUUAUUAGUAUUAUAAUAUUUUAAAUAUGACAACAAUCAAGGUGAGACAAUUUCUAUAAAAGAUUAAAUAUAAAUGUUUGAAGACUUUUUAAUGAUUGAAGUUAAUUAGUGCUAAAUAGUUUAAUGUUGAAUAUAAAAUACAUUAAUUAAUGCAAUAGUGAAGACUUUUCAAAGAAUCAUUUAAUUUAAUAAUAAAUUGUAGAUUGUUAAAAAGUCUUCCAUUUAACCAACACAUUCAAUAAUUGUUGAAAAUAAAAUAUACUGUACUAAUUACAAUAAUAAAGUCUUUUCAAUGACUUAUUAAACAAUAAAAUUUAGAUUAGGAAAGAGUCUUCAAAACAUACUAAUUUUGUUUAUAUUUUAUUUUAAACAAUAAACAUAUAAUAAAUGUUGUUUUUAUUUUAAAUUUUUUAUUUUAAACAAUAAAAAUAUUUAUAAUUAUAUUCUUUUAAACAAUAAAAUGAGGAUCUUUUAUUUUUAUUUUAUUUUAAACAAGAAUUAUUUUCUUAAACGAUACACUUAAAGAAUAUUUAUUUUAUUUUAUUUUAAACAAUUAAAAUAUUUUUUUAUUAGUCACCUAAUAUUAUUUUUUAUAAAAAUUAAAAUUCAAAAUUAUAAUAAAUGAAUCCACAUAUUCAAAUUUUUUUAUUUAUAAAAUAUUAUUUCACCUUGAUAUAUUGCUUAAGGUUUUAAGCGUUUAUAGUACCAUUGGCGUUGGCACCAAAUCUUGAAUUCUACACUUGUUGUCACUGUUGUAUAUAUAUAAAGAAGUUUUAAGCAUGUAAUAUUUAUAGAGUAUACACAUUUAAUAAAUUAAUAAAGUGGAUAGCUCAUAAUUAUAAAAAGCUAUCAUAAAAUUAAUAUAGCUAGUAUUUUUACUUGUGAGUUACAUAGAAGAAAUAUCUAUUUUUAUAGAAUUAAAAUUUAUAAUAAAUAAAUAUUUUUAGGUAUAAGUUAUAUUAUAAUUAAAAAUUAUAAUUUAUAUAUAAUUGUCAGCCGUGAUAGUAUUCUAAAAAUUAAAAAUUAAAAAUCAAAUUUUAAUUACUAAAAAUCACUAAUUACCAAUUUAUCAUAAGAAUAACUAAACAAAUAUUUUUUAAAUUUAAGGACUAAAAAAAUAAAUUUUAAAUUUUCAAAACUAAUAAAACCAAGAAAGAUUAAAAUAGUAAUUAAACCUUUUUAAAAAUCAAUCUUUUUAAUCUUUCCAUGAUAAAUAGGCAAUUUGAGAUAGUUUAUCAGAAUUUGAUUUUUAAUUUUUUAUUUUAAAAUGAUCACAAAAUUUUAAUUUAUUAAAGGAAAGACUAAAAAAAUAUAAUUUUCAAAAAUUAGAAACUAAAAACAACAAAUAUAAAUUAUUUUUUUACAAAAUCAAAUUUAAAUUUCAAGAAUUAAAAAAAAGCAUAACCCCAAGUAUAAAACUAAAACAGUAACCUAAAAAAAAUUAUUGGUGAAUGUUUUUUUCUUUCUUGCUUUACAAGACUAAAACUGGGGGUUAAUUUUACUUGGUUCCCUCUUUCUCCAUUACACAGACUUAGAGUUCGUGGUGGUGACUCUGAUUUGAGAAGAAGAAGAAGAAGAAAGGAUGGCGCCAAGUCGAUUCUUAUGGUUCACGUUCGGAUUCGCAUCCACAUACUUUGUUGUUUUGAAGAACCUCAGGCGUAAGUGUCACGCGCUCGCUUAUCACAUGGAACGCGAUUUUCGCAUUCUCGAAGACAGACUCUCCAAAUUCGAAGAAUCCUCUUUUUCUGUUCCGCUCCCGAUCGAUCAGGUAAUCGUAAUUGCACGCUGUUCUAUUGUUCUUAUGAAGAAAUUUCGCAUUUUAGGGUUUGCAAUUCGUGGUUGAUGCAUAAUCAUAUUCAUGGUGGAAAAAAUUUGCAUAUUUAUAAGAUUCUGCGUAUUUAGUGUGUGUUUGGAUGGACUUUUUAUUUUGAAUGGAAUUGAUUUUGGUCGAAAUUAAUUUUGAAGUGAUUUGGUUUAUGUUUGGAUGUUUUAUUAUAAAAUAGUUAGGAGUAAAAUUCAGUACCAAAUUUUGGAUCCGAUGUAAAAGCUACUGAAAGUUGCUUCAACUCAUAAUCAAUUCUGAAUUUUUCUCUAACGGGAAAUCAAACAUGGGAAAAUAUAUCCAAAAUCAAUUUUGGACUCGGAAUCAAUUCCCCAAUGCCAAUCCAAACGCGCACUUAAACCAAUCAAUUGACUUGUAUUCGUAACUAGACUGACUGGUUGCAUCUGUUUGUGAGGUUGUGGAUUUUGUGUGUCCAAUGAAAUUUAAUUCAGUACUAUUUUGUUAUGCAUAUGGUGAAAAGAUUAUUGUAUCUUUCUUCGGUUAAAAUCAACUUAUGCACCUCACAUUUAGUUUUUUGAACAAGUCAAAUGAAAGAAUUUCUAUAAAAGUUAAGUUAGAGAACCCUAUUACACAUGAGCUUUAGCUACAUUGUUUUCAAUCCCAUAAUUUCUUUUAUCCUUCAAUAUUACGAUGGAUACUUGAACUUCUGUCUGUGCAAAUAUAGAAUCUAGAUCUAGAUAUAAAACAAUUGAAAGAAGCCAGAACUAGAUUUUAUCUAGAGAAAGGUGCAUACUAAGUUGAUAUCUGUUCUUUCCAUCUAGACUCAGCCAUGUUUUCUGCAGCUGGUAAUUUGAGGAGAGGGAGAGAGAGAGAGAGAUUUUUCAGUUGCAAAUAGUUUUUAUUCUUAAACUGAUGUUCAUGAUUGCUCAGAUAUAAUUGUAAAGUGCGUAUUGAAAAAGUUUAAUUCUCUUUGGCAGGUCGAAGGUGUUUCUGGUCCAGCGAAAUGAUUUCUACUAGGUUCUAUGGGAUUUAUGCUUGAUUCAAAAGGUUUGUAGAGGAAAUGACCAUAAUAAAACAGACGAUGAGGCAACGUUAAAAUUCUUACCUGUUUUUUUUUCACCUGGGAGAUUAACCAAUUGUGAGGAAAAAAUGAAAAAUCAAAUUGGAGUUUACUGUCAUGUUAUUAAAUAUCAUGCUUUUGUUGUACAGCUCCAGGAGCUUGAACUUUUAACUCUGUUUUAUUAUUGUUAGCAUAUUUUGAUG